GACGAACGCUGGCGGCGUGCUUAACACAUGCAAGUCGAACGGAAAGGCCCUGCUUUUGUGGGGUGCUCGAGUGGCGAACGGGUGAGUAACACGUGAGUAACCUGCCCUUGACUUUGGGAUAACUUCAGGAAACUGGGGCUAAUACCGGAUAGGAGCUCCUGCUGCAUGGUGGGGGUUGGAAAGUUUCGGCGGUUGGGGAUGGACUCGCGGCUUAUCAGCUUGUUGGUGGGGUAGUGGCUUACCAAGGCUUUGACGGGUAGCCGGCCUGAGAGGGUGACCGGCCACAUUGGGACUGAGAGACGGACCAGAGUCCUACGGGGGGCAGCAGUGGGGAAUAUUGCACAAUGGGCGGAAGCCUGAUGCAGCAACGCCGCGUGCGGGAUGACGGCCUUCGGGUUGUAAACCGCUUUCGCCUGUGACGAAGCGUGAGUGACGGUAAUGGGUAAAGAAGCACCGGCUAACUACGUG
rnacentral:rRNA from 1 species